rnacentral:lncRNA from 1 species
AUAAACCCCUCACUCUCCAUAUAUUACUCACCCCAAAACCCUAUAGACAGUUACCCUAUAUAGCCUCCCCAAGAUCCUCCUCUUCUUUCUUUUGUGAAUCCCUGAUAGUUGCUUUACCAAUCUCUCUCCAAUUCCGAAUUUCCGAUAGAGAAAUAGAAUCAUCUCGUGAUUCACUUACGUUACUUGUAAUACCUCGCUAUUACGAACACAUCUGUGGAAUUACUUGAGUACUUUUUCAAUUUUGGUAACUUUCUGGAAUUGCGCUAGAUCGACUCUGAUCUUGGGGAUUUGAUAGUAUUUCGUCCAUACAUGAAGAAAGGCUUGAUUCCUCACACCAGUUGGCCGAUUUCAAAUGUCAAACCCCAACUAGGGUUUGGGAUUUGAUUUCUUCCUUUGCCGGCUCUAUUACUGAUUGUAUAAGAUAUUUUCUUUCCUUAUUUAUGUUUAAUCAAUUCUUUUCCUUGUUUUUUCGUUCAAUUUUCAACACUAUAUAAAAUCCUCCCCUAAUUUUUCUAAAAAGGACCUUUCACUGAAAUUAACAACUGUUGUUCUCUCUUAUUCUCUCAUUCUUUACUAUUCUAAAAUUUGAGACCUGGCCGGCUAAAAGCCAAGGUCACUGAAAAAUCGAUCGUUGCUAUUUCUUAAUGCAAAUCCUACCCAGGGUUCACUUGAAACCCUUGGGAACUCUGACGCAUUGGGAUUUUGGGGGUCUACUGUUCUUUGUUGUUGACGAUUAAAGUCCUCUUGGCAUUUAGUUUUCUACCUUUUUUGCUCUUUAGUUCUGCAAACCGGUGAAUACCGAGGCUCUUGUAAUUUUAUUUUUUUGCUUGUGUUCAUGCUUUACAUGCUCAUGUCAUUUAGGCCUUUAUGAAUCAAUGUGCUUGUUUGAAUCAAAUUAUAUUUGAUACAAGAAUAAGUUGCAAUCACAAAAUAAAUAUGAAGAAACAUAAUUUUAUUGAUAAAAUGAUGCGGAUACAAUCCUGUUUCUCCCUUGAUCUUCUCUUCUGAUAAUCUGGAUGAUGCAGAGCUCCUAAAUGUAUCCGGUUUCUUAAACUAUUUCAUUGUCAAGAAGUAUCUAGUCAUAUUUUGGUCUCUUUGUGAGUAUCCCGUGAGUUUAUGGGGUUUUUUUGAGACACCUCUUUAGGAGAAUAUAUAUCCCUUUAUAUAGGUGUGAGUUAGGGUUCAGGGUAGAGUACCCUCCAAGAAACAAAAAUAGACUCCUAAUAGACUCCUAGGAUUUUUAAAGCCAUGUAGUAUCUUUAAUUUAGGAUUUGGCUUGAUCCCUUAAAAUUUUGAUGUCUACAAAUACCCCUACUUCAAGGUUUGUCGGGGUGUAGGCUUGUCGAACUUUAAGACGAGACUUAAAGUACUCGACAGUCACAACAAAUGGUUUUGAAAAUUGGAGUUUUUGAUUUAUAGGAGGAAGAGAUGAAGGGAAGAACCGGUCCCACGGGGCGUGCCGGUUUGUUUGCAUCAAAUUAUAUGUGAUACAAAAAUAAGUUUCAAUCACAAAAUAAAUAUGAAAAAACAUAAUUUUAUUGAUAAAAUGAUGCGGGUACAAUCCGGUUUCUCUCUUGAUUCUUCUCUCCUGAUAAUCUUCGUGAUUUGAGGGCUGAAGCAGCGUAUUUCCCGAAUGUAAGGAUGAUGCAGAGCUCCUAGAUGUAUUCGGUUUCUUGAACUAUUUCAUUGUCAAGAAGUAUCUAGUCAUAUUUUGGUCUCUUUGUGAGUAUCUCGUGAGUUUAUGGAAUUUUUUUGAGACACCUAUUUAGGAGAAUAUAUACCCUUUAUAUAGGUGUGAGUUAGGGUUCAGGGUAGAGUACCCUUCAAGAAAUCCUGAUAGACUCCUAAUAGACUCCUAGGAUUUCUAGAGUCCUAUAGUAUCUUUAAUUUAGGAUUUGGCUUGAUCCCUUAAAAUUUUGAUGCCUACAGUGCUAUUAUUCGGCUCUGUUGGUAUUCUUGUUUUCCUUUGGAAUCAAUUCUAUGCCUCUAUGUUUUCUAGCAUUUGAACUUGUUUGAGCUUUAAGCUUCAACGCAUGCUUAUAUAUGUGUGCAGUUUUAAUCACUCUCACUCUUUUAAUUACCUACUGUUUGUUAUGAGACCCUCAUCAUGCCUUGCCUUGGUUUCUUAGACUGAAACUCCUAGGUGAUCAUCCCUUUUCUUGAAUGAAUUCCUUUACGCUAAGUUUUGUGUUAAUCAAUUGUUCUUUACAAACUGACCAUACCUGUAUGGAUCCCAUGUUACAAUAUUGUCUUAAUAUCUGGCCUAUACAUAUUUCUCUAUUACUUUCAAUCCUAAUGAUUGUAAUCUUUGGCAUUACCUAAGACUUCUAGGACAAAUAUUCCACUUCUUCUCUUAUAUGUGAUCAAUUAACAGAAGUCCUGAUGUCUGCUUGUCAUGUUAGUGUAUAGCUGAUAUGUUCUUCUACCUACCAUAAGUUUCUUUGGAAUCUUUGUGCUAUAAUCCAUUUUUAUCAUGUUGAGUUUCAUGUUCAACCAAAUGAUAUUUAGCCAAAUUGUGCCACUAGUACGUUGUUAUGCUGAUUAGAUUGUCAUUUUAAAAUCUUCAUGUAAAACUUGUGCUAUUCUUACUCCAUGCUUAUGAUUAUGCUAGAUUGUUAUUUGAAGUUCUUUAGGUUGGUUAUGAACCAUGUUUUAUUUUGAAACUCUAUGUGGCUCAUGUUGCUCGAUACUGCCACUUCAAACAUUGUUUGUGGAAAUACGAACAUGAACCAGCCUAAUAUAUGUCUCAUAUGCCUUCCAAUUUAAUAUUGUCCUAUUUAUGUGCUUUGGCUUAUAACUGCUAAGAACUGAGUGUGUGGACUUAGAGUUUUCUUAUCUAAUUAGUGAGUAGUUGUUUGGUUAAGUUGGUCCUCUGUCACUACUAGGUGGAUGAAUUCUCCAUUUCUGCUUGGUAUGGGUCUAUAUAUGAGUUUAAAGUUUGUAUCUGGCAUACUCUACUCUCAAGUUAAUUUUGGGUUUGGGUUUGUUGUUGGUGCAAAAAAUAAGCUUGUUGAAGGCCCAAGCAGUCCUGGGUUGUCUCCUCUUGGGCCUGCUCUACAUGUGGAGACUGUAGUUAUUUCAAUACUGUAAUACUGAGGUUUAUUUUCAUUUCUUCUUGGGAUUGUAAUAAUUUGUAAACAAACAAUUGGGCAUUUAGUGAAAUUGGGUAGAAAGGAUAUUCUUGUACUUGCAUGAAUGGAUAGGGAACAUAUCUAAAGGAUCUAUGUGCUCUAUUUGUUAUUUGUUUAGCAUGCUUUAUUUUUUGUACACUGAUAGACAUCAUGCAUAUAAGAGUUCUGCAAAUAUCUCACUUAAUUUGCCAAGACAUGUUAUCUAUGUCUAUUAUUUAUCACUGUUAGAUAACAUGUCUUAGGGCGCAACAAUGCAAUGUUUUUACUCAUCUAGAUAUCAUGUUGAUAGGACUUCAAAUAAUCAGUCUAUUAAUUACUUCAAUUACUUUUAGUUUACUACCUAUCUAAAUAUCAUGGCCAUAGGGUUCUAAUAUUCUAAUCAAAUUUUCCCAUUAUUUUCGAUUAAUCUAUCGUCUAUUUUUGAAAAAGCAUGCCUAUGAAACUAACUUAAGUAAUUCAGAACUAUGAUUGUUUUCCCUAAAUUUUACGCAAAUGAUUAGAUAUCAUGACUAGGACUUGCAACAUUCAAUUUUCCUAUGCGUUAAUCCAAAAAUCACUGCACUACCCAUGUAUUAUUGGAGUCCAGAAUCACUUAGUAAUCUGCCAAUAGGAUUCACCUGAAUGCUGCUUAUGCAUGAUGUUGGAAGUUAGAAUCACUUAGAAACCAUAUUUAUAGUAUUUAUAACGAUCUAAUCUACCCAUACAUUAGCCUAGAAAUACAACAGUACAUGUUUGUUCUAGAAUCAUAUAUAAAUCAUGCUUAUAGGACUAAAAGAUUCUGAAAUAUCGUCUGCUGCACAAUCUGUCAAUCAGUCUCCAUGUGUUCUUUGCUUAUGUGUGGAGGCUAAAAUAAGCCACUCUUUGCUAUUAUGUGUGGUCUUAUUUGUUUUGAAUGCACGAUUACUUUUAUCAUUUUUUUGAGCAACCUAAGUAAGUCUAGAACCAUUCAGAUAGAUGUCCAAAGCCUCCUGGACCAUAUACAUGGGACAGGUAGUGGACACAUAGGACAUGACAUAGAAAUGAAAUAAAACACUUUAGGUAAACAACUUCAACGUAGUAAUUGAGUAGCAGAAGAUGAUGGUCUGUGCUCGCUGAAUAAUAUGAGCUACUCCUAUCUAAAAGGAGUUAUGAAGUAUUAUUUAUGUUGUAUGGGGUGAUCCUUUAGGCUAAAAAAUUUAGGACCCCCGUUCCUUUAUAAACUUGCUAUUUACACUUAGUUAUUUAACAUAGAUCCAUGUAGUGGUAUCCUUGUAAUCAUUAAGAUUUGUAGCAAUUCUCAUUAUGUUAUAGUAAAAUUCUUCGAUUUUUGUAUUCUCUUUGUGUAUUUGAUCACC